AUUGAAGGCUGGCGGCAGGCUUAACACAUGCAAGUCGAGCGGUAACAGAGAGAAGCUUGCUUCUCUGCUGCCGAGCGUAGGAGGGGUGAGUAAUGCCUAGGAAUCUGCCUAGUAGUGGGGGAUAAUUUGCAGAAAGGUAAGCUAAUACCGCAUGCGUCCUAAGGGAGGAAAGAGGGGACCGUCGGGCCUCUCGCUAUUAGAUGAUCCUGGGUCGGAUUAGUUAGUUGGUGGGGUCAAGGCUCACCAAGACCGCGAUCCGUAACUGCAUGUCUGAGAGGAUGAUCAGUCACACUGGAACUGAGACACGGUCCAGACUCCUACGGGAGGCAGCAGUGGGGAAUAUUGGACAAUGGGGGGAACCCUGAUCCAGCCAUGCCGCGUGUGUGAAGAAGGUCUUAGGAUUGUAAAGCACUUUAAGUUGGGAGGAAGAGCAGUUAACUAAUAUUUGACUGUUAUGACGUUACCGACAGAAUAAGCACCGGCUAACUUCGUGCCAGCAGCCGCCGUAA
rnacentral:rRNA from 1 species